GUGCUCACUUCAGCAGCAUAUAUAAUAAAAUUGGAAAAAUACAGAAAAUAUUAGCAAGGUCCUAUGCAAAUAUGACAUGCAAAUUCAUAUAUUUUUGUAUUUUAUU